rnacentral:tRNA from 1 species
GCUUUUGGUUUUGUGGUAGAAUGCUCGCCUGCUAUGCAGGCGCCCCGGGUUCGAUUCCCGGCUGAUGCA